rnacentral:rRNA from 1 species
CCUACUGGGAGCAGCAGUGAGGAAUAUUGGUCAAUGGACGCACGUCUGAACCAGCCAUGCCGCGUGCAGGAAGACGGCUCUAUGAUUUUUAAAUUGCUUUUGUACGAGGGUAAACGCAGAUACGCGUAUCUUUCUGAAAGUAUCGUACGAAUAAGGAACGGCUAACGCCGUGCCAGCAGCCCCGGUAAUACGGAGGAUUCAAGCGUUAUCCGGAUUUAUGGGGUGUACAGGGUGCGUAGGCGGUCGGAUAAGUUAGAGGUGAAAUCCCGAGGCUCAACGUCGGAAGUGCCUCUGAUACUGUUCGGCUAGAGAGUAGUUGAGGUAGGCAGAAU